GACCCCGUCGUCUAGCGGCUUAGGACAUCGGGUUUUCAUCCCGAAAAUCGCGGGUUCAAAUCCCGCCGGGGUCA
rnacentral:tRNA from 1 species